UACUUUCGGUAUUUAUAUUGGAAGUGUCUAGUGGCGAACGGGUGCGUAACACGUGGAUACAUUCCGGGAAGCGGGGGAUAGCCCAGGGAAACUUGGAUUAAUACCGCAUGUGGUCGAAAGACUAAAGGUGGGGACCGCAAGGCCUGCCACUUCCCGAUUGGUCCGCGGCCUAUCAGCUUGUUGGUGAGGUAAAGGCUCACCAAGGCUACGACGGGUAACUGAUCUGAGAGGAUGAUCAGUCACACUGGAACUGAGACACGGUCCAGACACCUACGGGUGGCAGCAGUCGAGAAUCUUUCACAAUGGGGGCAACCCUGAUGGAGCGACGCCGCGUGGAGGAUAAGGUCUUCGGAUUGUAAACUCCUGUCAUGUGAGAGCAAGACUUCCGGGUUAAUACCCCGUAAGUUCGAUAGUAUCACAAGAGGAAGAGACGGCUAACUCUGUGCCAGCAGCCGCGGUAAUACAGAGGUCUCAAGCGUUGUUCGGAAUCACUGGGCGUAAAGGGUGCGUAGGUGGCGUGGUAAGUCAGAUGUGAAAGCCCGGGGCUCAACCUCGGAACUGCAUCCGAUACUGCCAUGCUAGAGAACUGGAGGGGAGUCUAGAAUUCUCGGUGUAGCAGUGAAAUGCGUAGAUAUCGAGAGGAAUACCAAUGGCGAAGGCAGGACUCUGGACAGUUUCUGACACUGAGGCACGAAGGCCAGGGGAGCGAACGGGAUUAGAUACCCCGGUAGUCCUGGCAGUAAACGGUGCACGUUUGGUUUGGGGGGGAUUCGACCCCCUCCGAGCCGGAGCUAACGCGUUAAACGUGCCGCCUGGGAAGUACGAUCGCAAGAUUAAAACUCAAAGAAAUUGACGGGGACCCGCACAAGCGGUUGGAGUAUGUGGCUUAAUUCGAUGCAACGCGAAGAACCUUACCUGGUCUUGACAUGCAUUGUGUCGUCUGUGAAAGCAGACUAGGGUAGCAAUACCCACUUUGCACAGGUGCUGCAUG
rnacentral:rRNA from 1 species